rnacentral:misc_RNA from 1 species
AUUCCCUUUGGUGACCCCUUCUGCAUAGAGGAUAUCACGCUCAGAAGGCUCAAAUUCAUUACUGGAGACCUCAACCGCCCGGCUUAAGAAGUACUCUGCAACGUCUGGAAGAAAGUGAAGCUCAUCUUUUCUCCUAUAUGUUGCCUGUAUUGCAGGAUCCCUCCAUACUUCUUCAACCAAUGGAGCAUAUUCACGUGUUGCUGCAGGGAAAAAUGCAUCCAAAUCUCCAGUGGCUAUGAUGUCCAGCAGCCAAUCAGAGAAAUGCUUCAAUCUUGGAUUGAUGGAAUAGAUACACUGACUAGUUUCACUAGAGUUGAUCUCUUCACCUAAUUCCUUCAUCCUAGACAAUGCCUCCUCCUCAAAGCGUUCCCGUCCAUCAAGCAAAAGGCUAAGAUAUCUAUACAUAUUACUCUGGAUCAUCAACUUGAUAUCCUGCAGUUCCUC